GAUGAACGCUGGCGGCGUGCCUAAUACAUGCAAGUCGAGCGAACAGACGAGGAGCUUGCUCCUCUGACGUUAGCGGCGGACGGGUGAGUAACACGUGGAUAACCUACCUAUAAGACUGGUAUAACUUCGGGAAACCGGAGCUAAUACCGGAUAAUAUAUUGAACCGCAUGAUUCAAUAGUGAAAGACGGUUUUGCUGUCACUUAUAGAUGGAUCCGCGCCGCAUUAGCUAGUUGGUAAUGUAACGGCUUACCAAGGCAACGAUGCGUAGCCGACCUGAGAGGGUGAUCGGCCACACUGGAACUGAGACACGGUCCAGACUCCUACGGGAGGCAGCAGUAGGGAAUCUUCCGCAAAGGGCGAAAGCCUGACGGAGCAACGCCGCGUGAGUGAUGAAGGUCUUCGGAUCGUAAAACUCUGUUAUUAGGGAAGAACAAAUGUGUAAGUAACUAUGCACGUCUUGACGGUACCUAAUCAGAAAGCCACGGCUAACUACGUG
rnacentral:rRNA from 1 species